rnacentral:rRNA from 1 species
CCGGAAACGUGGAGAGAUGACCAGGAGCCUGCCAAUGCGGCAAGUGAACAGAGAUUAGCCCAUCACCGAAUCUAUCUGCUUUUGUGGACAGGACAAUGUGGUGUUUAGGUGUGUACCUGGGAGCGCUUGCCUACCCGAAGUCCAUCUCCGAUUCUGGCUUGGACUAUGCCCAUAGCGGGUGAAAGGCCCGUUCGGGUAGGCCGUGUUGCAAUAAGCGAUCCUCAGAUGUGCAUACCGUCGAGUCGGAUUGCUUGAGAAUGCAGUCCAAAGUGGGUGGUAAACUCCAUCCAAGGCUAAAUACUGGCACGAGUCCGAUAGUAGACAAGUACCGUGAGGGAAAGUUGAAAAGUACUCUGAAGAGAGGGGGGGAG